rnacentral:lncRNA from 1 species
UUCCGGACUUUUAUUCCACCCCAUGCCUUCUUUCUCUUUGGGGUGCAGUUAGGAAACAGGUUUCCAUCCGUCUUAGGCCAAGAGACUCAUACUUAUUUUUAGUCUAUAAAAUCCAAAGAAUGAAUUAUAUAUUCCUGUUUAGUCAUGUCCAAAGGGUGUGAAACUCUUGGGGGGGGGGGGAGCGGUGGUGGGGUGGAUGAAUGUCACCAGUAAUAAGGAAAUAAUAAGUUAUACUGAAAACUUAUUACUUGCCAGGCCCCCUGUUCUACUGCUACUGCUAAGUCACUUCAGUCGUGUCUGACUCUGUGCGACCACAUAGACGGCAGCCCACCAGGCUCCCCCUGUCCCUGGGAUUCUCCAGGCAAGAACACUGGAGUGGGUUGCCAUUUCCUUCUCCAAUGCAUGAAAGCGAAAAGUGAAAGUGAAGUCACUCAGUCAUGUCCAACUCUUCGAGACCCCAUGGACUGUAGCCUACCAGGCUCCUCCGCCCAUGGGAUUUUCUAGGCAAGAGUACUGGAGUGGAGUGCCAUUGCCUUCUCCGAGGCUGUAUGUUAUUAUAUUAUUUAUGUUUAUCAUGCUAUGUAUUAGGUAUAAGCAGUCUGUGCUGUGUGUGCUUAGUCACUUCAGUCUUGUCUGACUCUUUGCUACCUCAUGGACUAUGGUCUGCCAGGCUUUUCUGGCCAUGGAAUUCUCCAGGCAAGAAUACUGGAGUGGAUUGCCAUGCCCUCCUCCAUGUGAUCUUCCCCACCCAGGGACUGAACCUGGGUCUCUUGCAUUGCAGGUGGAUUCUUUACCCACUGAGCCACUUGGGGAGCCCAAUAAGCAGUAUACAUUAUAAACUUCAGGAGGGAAGAGGCUUUGAAUGAACAUAAUGGCCCCUCAGUCAGAAAUACUGGAGGAUAAGGGAAGCAGCAGACCCAGAGUCAUAGCCAAGCACAAGCACAUACGUCUUUCACAGAGCACUGCGCUCUCUCAGGGCCGAGUCUCACCUUGGAGGUUGAUGAUGCUCCGAAGUCACGGGGAGCUGGAGCCCAUCUCCACCGACAGCCGUCUGGCUUUUGGAUUCCAGUCACAUUCUUCACCAGCCGAAGGGAGUGCUCACGGUGAGGAGGAGCUCUGAGGAGCUGAACUUCUGCCCCUUAUUUCCUUAUGAGAGGAUCUAGGGCUUCUGAUAAAAUAACACCUAGCAUUAUUUUUUUUUACUGAUGAGGAGAGACAGAGAAAGCAAAACCAGGUAAAACAGAAUAUAUUUAAAAUAGAAUAGCUCUGUAGUUGAAAACCUGAGAUCAGAAUCCUGCCCUGGAUGUCUUUCUCCUCCUUUGUGUGAGGAAU